UCAAACUUGGUCAUUUAGAGGAAGUAAAAGUCGUAACAAGGUUUCCGUAGGUGAACCUGCGGAAGGAUCAUUAGUGAAUAUUAGUCCCUUUAAGGGAUUCACUAUCCUCUUCAUACCCCUGUGCACUGUUUUCGAAGCAUGACGUUUUUACGUCUGCUUCGCUAUCUAUUAACCAUGUGUCAAAGAAUGUGUUUGAUCUCGUUUAUGCGGGAGCAAUAAGAAACCAAAACUUUCAGCAACGGAUCUCUUGGCUCAGGCAUCGAUGAAGAACGCAGC
rnacentral:misc_RNA from 1 species